rnacentral:antisense_RNA from 1 species
UGUAAUGGCGGCCGUGCGCGGGCAGGCUUCGGUCUGGCCGAGUUUUCCUAUGUUCCCUCGGUUUCUCACCCCGCGUACGGCUGCCACCUUU